UUAUAUUUGCUUCUUGUUUAGAUCCUAGCACUAUUAUUAUAGAUUUCUUGAGAUUUCUUGAAUCAACAAGGUCUACCAUUGAACCAUCUUCAUCUGGUUCAGUUGGUAAGUUCUAAAAACCUGUUAUGCAUUCCUUAUCAAUGCAACAUUUAUUUUUUAUAACAAUCUUUUAACCUUAGUUCCAACUUUAACUGCAACAAAUGGUAAGUUUAAAAAUUAUUACUGUGUAAUAUGUGUAUGUAUUUCUCAACAAUUGCAAUAUUUGUUUUCUAUUAAAACUUUUUAAACUGAGGAACAUCCUCAUCUGCUACAAUUGGUAUAUUUUAAAUACUUUACUUUCUAAUAUAUGUAUGCAUUUUUCAUCAAUUGCAUUAUUUGUUUUUUAUUAACUUUUUUACCUUAGUUUUAUCGUCUUCUGCAUCAAGUGGUAUGUCUUCAUAAUAUUACUUUUUUAUAUGU